rnacentral:rRNA from 1 species
GGGUUGUGAGGUUAAGCGACUAAGCGUACACGGUGGAUGCCCUGGCAGUCAGAGGCGAUGAAGGACGUGCUAAUCUGCGAUAAGCGUCGGUAAGGUGAUAUGAACCGUUAUAACCGGCGAUUUCCGAAUGGGGAAACCCAGUGUGAUUCGUCACACUAUCAUUAACUGAAUCCAUAGGUUAAUGAGGCGAACCGGGGGAACUGAAACAUCUAAGUACCCCGAGGAAAAGAAAUCAACCGAGAUUCCCCCAGUAGCGGCGAGCGAACGGGGAGCAGCCCAGAGCCUGAAUCAGUGUGUGUGUUAGUGGAAGCGUCUGGAAAGGCGUGCGAUACAGGGUGACAGCCCCGUACACAAAAAUGCACAUACUGUGAGCUCGAUGAGUAGGGCGGGACACGUGGUAUCCUGUCUGAAUAUGGGGGGACCAUCCUCCAAGGCUAAAUACUCCUGACUGACCGAUAGUGAACCAGUACCGUGAGGGAAAGGCGAAAAGAACCCCGGCGAGGGGAGUGAAAAAGAACCUGAAACCGUGUACGUACAAGCAGUGGGAGCACGCUUAGGCGUGUGACUGCGUACCUUUUGUAUAAUGGGUCAGCGACUUAUAUUCUGUAGCAAGGUUAACCGAAUAGGGGAGCCGAAGGGAAACCGAGUCUUAACUGGGCGUUAAGUUGCAGGGUAUAGACCCGAAACCCGGUGAUCUAGCCAUGGGCAGGUUGAAGGUUGGGUAACACUAACUGGAGGACCGAACCGACUAAUGUUGAAAAAUUAGCGGAUGACUUGUGGCUGGGGGUGAAAGGCCAAUCAAACCGGGAGAUAGCUGGUUCUCCCCGAAAGCUAUUUAGGUAGCGCCUCGUGAAUUCAUCUCCGGGGGUAGAGCACUGUUUCGGCAAGGGGGUCAUCCCGACUUACCAACCCGAUGCAAACUGCGAAUACCGGAGAAUGUUAUCACGGGAGACACACGGCGGGUGCUAACGUCCGUCGUGAAGAGGGAAACAACCCAGACCGCCAGCUAAGGUCCCAAAGUCAUGGUUAAGUGGGAAACGAUGUGGGAAGGCCCAGACAGCCAGGAUGUUGGCUUAGAAGCAGCCAUCAUUUAAAGAAAGCGUAAUAGCUCACUGGUCGAGUCGGCCUGCGCGGAAGAUGUAACGGGGCUAAACCAUGCACCGAAGCUGCGGCAGCGACGCUUAUGCGUUGUUGGGUAGGGGAGCGUUCUGUAAGCCUGUGAAGGUGUGCUGUGAGGUAUGCUGGAGGUAUCAGAAGUGCGAAUGCUGACAUAAGUAACGAUAAAGCGGGUGAAAAGCCCGCUCGCCGGAAGACCAAGGGUUCCUGUCCAACGUUAAUCGGGGCAGGGUGAGUCGACCCCUAAGGCGAGGCCGAAAGGCGUAGUCGAUGGGAAACAGGUUAAUAUUCCUGUACUUGGUGUUACUGCGAAGGGGGACGGAGAAGGCUAUGUUGGCCGGGCGACGGUUGUCCCGGUUUAAGCGUGUAGGCUGGUUUUCCAGGCAAAUCCGGAAAAUCAAGGCCGAGGCGUGAUGACGAGGCACUACGGUGCUGAAGCAACAAAUGCCCUGCUUCCAGGAAAAGCCUCUAAGCAUCAGGUAACAUCAAAUCGUACCCCAAACCGACACAGGUGGUCAGGUAGAGAAUACCAAGGCGCUUGAGAGAACUCGGGUGAAGGAACUAGGCAAAAUGGUGCCGUAACUUCGGGAGAAGGCACGCUGAUACGUAGGUGAAGCGACUUGCUCGUGGAGCUGAAAUCAGUCGAAGAUACCAGCUGGCUGCAACUGUUUAUUAAAAACACAGCACUGUGCAAACACGAAAGUGGACGUAUACGGUGUGACGCCUGCCCGGUGCCGGAAGGUUAAUUGAUGGGGUUAGCGCAAGCGAAGCUCUUGAUCGAAGCCCCGGUAAACGGCGGCCGUAACUAUAACGGUCCUAAGGUAGCGAAAUUCCUUGUCGGGUAAGUUCCGACCUGCACGAAUGGCGUAAUGAUGGCCAGGCUGUCUCCACCCGAGACUCAGUGAAAUUGAACUCACUGUGAAGAUGCAGUGUACCCGCGGCAAGACGGAAAGACCCCGUGAACCUUUACUAUAGCUUGACACUGAACAUUGAGCCUUGAUGUGUAGGAUAGGUGGGAGGCUUUGAAGUGUGGACGCCAGUCUGCAUGGAGCCGACCUUGAAAUACCACCCUUUAAUGUUUGAUGUUCUAACGUGGACCCGUGAUCCGGGUUGCGGACAGUGUCUGGUGGGUAGUUUGACUGGGGCGGUCUCCUCCUAAAGAGUAACGGAGGAGCACGAAGGUUGGCUAAUCCUGGUCGGACAUCAGGAGGUUAGUGCAAUGGCAUAAGCCAGCUUGACUGCGAGCGUGACGGCGCGAGCAGGUGCGAAAGCAGGUCAUAGUGAUCCGGUGGUUCUGAAUGGAAGGGCCAUCGCUCAACGGAUAAAAGGUACUCCGGGGAUAACAGGCUGAUACCGCCCAAGAGUUCAUAUCGACGGCGGUGUUUGGCACCUCGAUGUCGGCUCAUCACAUCCUGGGGCUGAAGUAGGUCCCAAGGGUAUGGCUGUUCGCCAUUUAAAGUGGUACGCGAGCUGGGUUUAGAACGUCGUGAGACAGUUCGGUCCCUAUCUGCCGUGGGCGCUGGAGAACUGAGGGGGGCUGCUCCUAGUACGAGAGGACCGGAGUGGACGCAUCACUGGUGUUCGGGUUGUCAUGCCAAUGGCACUGCCCGGUAGCUAAAUGCGGAAGAGAUAAGUGCUGAAAGCAUCUAAGCACGAAACUUGCCCCGAGAUGAGUUCUCCCUGACCCUUUAAGGGUCCUGAAGGAACGUUGAAGACGACGACGUUGAUAGGCCGGGUGUGUAAGCGCAGCGAUGCGUUGAGCUAACCGGUACUAAUGAACCGUGAGGCUUAACCUUACAACGCCGAAG